GUCCACGCCCUAAACGAUGUCAACUGGUUGUUGGACGGCUUGCUGUUCAGUAACGAAGCUAACGCGUGAAGUUGACCGCCUGGGGAGUACGGCCGCAAGGUUGAAACUCAAAAGGAAUUGACGGGGACCCGCACAAGCGGUGGAUGAUGUGGUUUAAUUCGAUGCAACGCGAAAAACCUUACCUACCCUUGACAUGUCUGGAAUCCUGAAGAGAUUUGGGAGUGCUCGAAAGAGAACCUGGACACAGGUGCUGCAUGGCCGUCGU
rnacentral:rRNA from 1 species